rnacentral:rRNA from 1 species
GAUCCUGGCUCAGGAUGAACGCUAGCUACAGGCUUAACACAUGCAAGUCGAGGGGCAGCAUUCUAGUUUGCUUGCAAACUAAAGAUGGCGACCGGCGCACGGGUGAGUAACAUGUAUCCAACCUGCCGAUAACUCGGGGAUAGCCUUUCGAAAGAAAGAUUAAUAUCCGAUAGUAUAUUAAAACCGCAUGGUUUUACUAUUAAAGAAUUUCGGUUAUCGAUGGGGAUGCGUUCCAUUAGUUUGUUGGCGGGGUAACGG